rnacentral:rRNA from 1 species
GAUGAACGCUGGCUACAGGCUUAACACAUGCAAGUCGAGGGGAAACGACGGGGAAGCUUGCUUCCCCGGGCGUCGACCGGCGCACGGGUGAGUAACGCGUAUCCAACCUGCCUCUGACUGAGGGAUAACCCGUCGAAAGUCGGCCUAAUACCUCAUGGCAUCGUCUGCGGGCAUCCAACGACGAUUAAAGAUUUCAUCGGUCAGAGAUGGGGAUGCGUCUGAUUAGCUUGUUGGCGGGGUAACGGCCCACCAAGGCGACGAUCAGUAGGGGUUCUGAGAGGAAGGUCCCCCACAUUGGAACUGAGACACGGUCCAAACUCCUACGGGAGGCAGCAGUGAGGAAUAUUGGUCAAUGGGCGAGAGCCUGAACCAGCCAAGUAGCGUGCAGGAUGACGGCCCUAUGGGUUGUAAACUGCCUUUAUGCGGGGAUAAAGUGAGGGACGUGUCCUUCAUUGCAGGUACCGCAUGAAUAAGGACCGGCUAAUUCCGUG